GCCCUACGGGACGCAGCAGUGGGGGAUAUUGCACAAUGGGGGGAACCCUGAUGCAGCGACGCCGCGUGGGUGAAGAAGCGCCUCGGCGCGUAAAGCCCUGUCAGCAGGGAAGAAAAUGACGGUACCUGAAGAAGAAGCCCCGGCUAACUACGUGCCAGCAGCCGCGGUAAUACGUAGGGGGCAAGCGUUAUCCGGAUUUACUGGGUGGAAAGGGGGCGCAGACGGCGAUGCAAGACAGGAGUGAAAGCCCGGGGCCGAACCACGGGACUGCACUUGGAACUGCGUGGCUGGAGUGCGGGAGGGGG
rnacentral:rRNA from 1 species